AGAUCUUUUACGGGGCAGACAUGAGCAUUAUCAGCGACUACAUUGAAUGUUUCGACUCUGAGGAUCAAAAGUGUGGCAAUAGCGUCCUUCCGUCACCCUGGUCUGUAAAUUAUCACAAAACAUAUUACGGAAUUUCAGUAGGCGGUCACUGUGAAGGAAUACUUAAUAUAAGAAUGAGAAGAUCAACUGGUGAGGCAGGAAUAUCAAAUCUAUUUACUAACACUGCUUGCAAAAGGAUUAAGAUGUCUGAAAUAAAUGGAAGUGAUGCUAUAAGAGCCGGCUAUAUUACAGCGCUAAGUGUUGUGUUAAUGUGUUUUCUAACAAUUAAAGUUAAACGAUAAUGAUUGCCAAUUCUUUGAAACUGGAUUAUGAAAUGACGUCAGAAAAUUAACAUUUUGUAUUAAUAAAUCGGACAUUUAUAUCAAAAUAUUACUCAAACAGACUGACAUGUUUGAUAUUGACCUGUUUGAUAUUUACUUAAAUAGAUAUUGCUUAUAUAAAUCAAUUAUACCAGUUUGUUCACAUUUGACUGUAAUCAUCCAUGACGUUCACAUUUCUAGGGAGUAAAUAAAAUAAAUGAAAAACCAGUUAUUGUAAAAGAUUUUAUCAAAAACUUCUAUACGGAUCUCCACAGCCGGCGUUUCUGUGGUACCAAGUAAUAUAUAUCCAAGCAGUAAUUAUUAUUAUUAUGAUAAUUAUGUAAUAGUUAUAGUAUAUGAAACGAGUUAGUUACGAAGAUAUAACACUGGCUGGAGCAACAUCGAGGGAUGUUAGCUAAAACAAUGGCAAGGCCAUUAGGCACCUCCAACAUGGAUGCUACUACUUUAUAUACAAAUAUGUAACAUUAACAUGAUCAGUGACAUUAUGUUCAUUUUUUCACUGUCAAUUUAAGUUGAAUUAUUAAUAUAUAUUCCAAAAGAUUUUAAUGUUGAUUGGCCUAAUAAUAGAUAAUAAAAAUGUUUAUGGUACAAUAUGAAAAUUACCUUAAUUAUAAAAGACUGCGCCACUCUUUUUAAGAAUUGAUCCUUACUAAUACAUAUAAUGGAAGAUAUUUAUAGAAAUUUGGUCACAAUGAUUAUUUAAUUUUUUUUAUAGUCUUAGUCACAUUGAUUAUUAAAUUAUUUUUUCAUAGUUAAAUAUAAAAUUGAACAGUAAUGACAAAUGUUCAGCUAUUUUUAUUUUCACUUGUUCACUGACCAUUUACAGUUGGUAGGGAAUAAUGUCACUCCUCAAGAAACUGUAAAUUAGUAAUAAUGUACUUUUUUCCGUUUUGACUUUAUAUAUUUGCUUAAUAUAAUAUAUACAUGUAUAGAUCAAUAUGUAAAAUAAUAUUGUAGUAUUGUAGUUAUACAUCUCUGUCCUGUUUUGUUUAAUGUGUGUCAAAUGUCCUUGAUAUUGCUGAGCAAAUGGUUUGUUGUUUGUGCACAAUUUUUCAAAAUAUCUGUAAUUGCGUUUUCGGCCACUUCAAACUGAUAAAAAUUGCUUAUUUUGAUUUCCCUUGCCCACUUACUCCGAGUUCAGUCGUUCAGUUUUUAUAGCAUUGAUAUCUUAAUUUAAAAAGUGUAAAACAAGUAAUGUGGUAAUAAAAUCAACUGGCAUUUCUUUGGUUAUGCAUUUAAAAGAUAUGGCAAAUUCUUAUCAACUUUUAUUACUUUAUCUGAUGGAUCUCACAUCAGCCGAAGUUAGAUUGUUUAACAAGAACAUUCAAAACAAAUGCAAUAGAAAUUCCUAUCAUUUUUUUAAGUUUGCUCUUUAAGUGUCAAUAAUUAAGAAGUAAAGCAAGCUUAUUAGCAUUUGUGUCGUCCUAAACAUUCGUUAAAAACAUGCUGUCAUAUGCAAGGAGCCUUAACUAUUUCUAAAACGUAUUUUGGGAAGUUAAAUACCAUCUUAGUAAAUUUCCAAUAUCAAUGCAUGUGUCGAACUCGGUGCUUUAUAACGUAUUUGCAAUCUGUUUGGAGAAACAUGCACAUUCCUUCAGCCGGUCAAAAAUAAGGACAUUAUCAUGUACGUCUAGUAGAUAAGAAUUGAAAUUUGGCCACUUAAAAUGAAGUUUGGUCAAAUCAGAGGUCUGUUUAGCUUCUUGAUAUACGUCACGGUAAAUGCAACCGAUUGCCAGGACUGAUGGGUUGCUUUUGAAGGCUCAUGUUAUCUGUUUGGGCACAACUUGAUUCACUUUACAGAAGCUGAGAAAUACUGCCGUCAUCAUUAUGCACACCUCGUACAAGUUGAGACCAAAGCUGAGAACAUGUUCCUACGGGAUUUUCUUCGAGACUUUAAAUUGGCUGACUACUGGAUUGGCAUGACUAACGAAACCGUAGAAGGUGUUUGGAAAUGGUAUGGCAAUAAUGAGGAUGUGGAAUAUUUCGACUGGGGACCGACAGGCCUCUGAACGUAAAUAAUGAGGACUGUGCAGUAUUUGGCGACACCCUGGAUUAUCAAUGGGCUGACGUUAAAUGUGCGACAGACAAGCAGGCACUAUGUGAAAUCUCGUAUGUAUUAGUAUUUAAUAAUGUUUCAUAAAAAACUUGCAAUAAAUUUCCUUUUAUAAUAAAUUUGUAUUUGAAAGAGACAGCCUGCAACAAUGUUGCUGCUGUAAAAUUACGUCUGUAAAUACGAUCUGAUUAAGACUUGAGCACGAAAUAAAUGAGCCGCGCCAAAACCAAAAUAAUGCGUUUGCGACCAGCAUGGAUCCAGACCAGCCUGCACAUCCCUGUAUUCUGAUCAGGAUCCAUGCUGUUCGUUUACAAACCGUAUGACAAGUUGAGAAACUGAUAGCGAACAGCAUGGAUCCUGAUCAGACUGCGCAGAU